AGCUAGGAAGGCAAUAUUUCAUAAUUAGUAUGUUUUGAGGUACGAUUAUAGACCAUAAUUACACUUGCUUUGGCUGAAGAGGUAAACAUGGGUGAGAUUGUGAUUGGGGUGCUUAGACAGGGUCAUAACUCUCUAUUCCCUGUUAGUAGCAUGGUGGUCAUUAGUUGUAAAAUAAUGAGAGCAAACCUUAUACUACAACACAAGAAGUAGGUAUCUGUGACUGCGAUACCAUGUUUUAUAUACAUUACGGCUUGAUGGCUCGGUUGAGCUAAACUCUGGAAGAGAGUUUGGAUAUCUAACUGAAUUCCUUUUUUUUUUUUUCUUCACAGAGUAUGGUAAGCACGGGAAGUCUACAUCUGGGAUCAGAAUUCAAACAAUGUUGUGAAACCACGGCAGUUGUUUCACUUGGAGGAAGGGAAAAAAAGCCCCAACAACAGAAAGGCAAAACUUGGAGAACUUCAUUUGUGACUUCAGAUGUGGGAUUCCACAGUAGAAUAUGCCGUAACAUGCAACCAGAUACCUUAACAAUGCUAACUUACAUUGCAGUUUGGAGAAACUGCAAGGAGAAACCCACCCUUUUAUGUGAGCUCUCACUUUUAAGCAUUUUACUGCUGCCCUUUGGGCUUCAAUCUAAGGAAACAAAGAAAAGGUUAUUAUUUCUCUUUUUGCCAUGGAAGAACAUAUCCUCACUGGUUUUGCACAGGUUAACAAGCAGAAAGUAAAAAAUUAAUCAACAGUUCCAAGAUGAUAAUAAUGCAACACAUAGGUAAAGCCUUCGUUCUAUUGCUCGUAACUGUUCCUAAAAUAAUACUGUAAGAACUCUGAGCUGCAUUUGUUGGCUUACCUCUAGACUUGAGUAGCGUGAGCAUUAGGUUUUUGUUUGCUAGCAUGAACUAGCUAUGACACAGCAAGCUGGGCAGCUUAUCAGAAUGUUAUUUCCUUUUUAGUGUCGUAAUAGCAUUUUGGGAUCUCCCAGCACUUUUUACCGUAAAAUGGAAAGGAAUAUUAAAUCCAGGAUGGUCUCAGAGUAGUAUUAACAGAUCCUCUCUGGUAUGAACAACUGCUUGACAUCAAGAUGCUUACAACAUAUUAAUAAGAUCAGUAUACGUGAUGUGCUUCAGCCUAAUAUCACAUAUGCUUCAAUCUACUUUAACCUUGACACCAGAGACAACCAUUUCAUAUGCAAGUAUACAUUUAACAUAAUUAAUAUUCAUGGAAGAGGCCAGUAAAGAUAUUUUAUUUUUAUCAGUUUACGUUUUCUGUUGUUUUUGCCAUAGAAAGUUGAGGGUUCCGCAUUUAUUGAUUUUAAAACAAAAAUGAUACUACUUUACCCUUGGCCUUCCUUCACCUCUCCCCUGUAAUUACCCACACGCAAAAGCCUCUUAUGAGAAAAGCAGAAUUCUCAAGACACAUUUUACCACCCGUAACAGUAGCCACUCAGAUUUGGGUCAACAGAGAAAUCCCCUCAGAUUCAGUACACAAAACCCCACACAAUUUAAAACCUGCUAUAUUGAAAAAUUGUGAAGUGUACACACAUGAAAAUGAAGUCCAUGCUGGGUGAACAAAAUAACAUUGUUUACCUGCAGU